AAUUUUUUUUUUUUUUUUGGAUAAAUUGAAUUAAGUUAAUUCUGAAUUAUGAUGACCGUUAUAAUUACAACAAGCAAAUGGAUGUGAGACUUCUGUCCUGCAUGAAUUCAAUGAGUCGGCAACUUCAGCUGCUUAAAUCUUCGUAACACUUUCUUUACUAUGGCAGGGGGCAUUCUGAUUUAGAGUGUUUAUGCGUUUAAUGAUGCAACCUAGUGGAAUAGUAGCUUCCAUUAGAAAGCAAUUUGUUGAUUUCGCCAUGCAUCAUGCUAAUAUCUUCAACUUUCUCAUUUGGUGUUGAAUUCUCAAGUUAACUUCUUUUGCUCCUGUUUUGUUAAUCCUUUUUUCCACCUUCCA
rnacentral:misc_RNA from 1 species